GCACUGUCUCAACGAGAGACUCGGUGAAAUCAUAGUACCUGUGAAGAUGCAGGUUACCCGCGACAGGACGGAAAGACCCCGUGGAGCUUUACUGUAGCCUGAUAUUGAAAUUCGGCACAGCUUGUACAGGAUAGGUAGGAGCCUUUGAAACGUGAGCGCUAGCUUACGUGGAGGCGUUGGUGGGAUACUACCCUAGCUGUGUUGGCUUUCUAACCCGCACCACUUAUCGUGGUGGGAGACAGUGUCAGGCGGGCAGUUUGACUGGGGCGGUCGCCUCCUAAAAGGUAACGGAGGCGCUCAAAGGUUCCCUCAGAAUGGUUGGAAAUCAUUCAUAGAGUGUAAAGGCAUAAGGGAGCUUGACUGCGAGACCUACAAGUCGAGCAGGGU
rnacentral:rRNA from 1 species